rnacentral:rRNA from 1 species
UACGAAGGGGGCGAGCGUUGUUCGGAUUUACUGGGCGUAAAGGGCGCGCAGGCGGCUCAUUUUGUCAGGCGUGAAAGCCCCGGGCUUAACCUGGGAACUGCGUUUGAUACGGAUGGGCUAGAGUUCGGGAGAGGAGAGUGGAAUUCCCAGUGUAGAGGUGAAAUUCGUAGAUAUUGGGAAGAACACCGGUGGCGAAGGCGGCUCUCUGGACCGUAACUGACGCUGAGGAGCGAAAGCGUGGGGAGCGAACAGG